CACCUUUCAGGGUCGUACCUGGAGAGUUUCCAGUACUCUACCAGUCUCGACUACAGGAGGGAGAGUCAAGCAGAGGCCUACCCAUUCCAUUCCUAGCUUGGGCAGUGUCUAGCGAGUGGAAGGCAAACUGCUACAAGU
rfam:Ornithorhynchus anatinus chromosome 7, whole genome shotgun sequence.